rnacentral:lncRNA from 1 species
UGAAGUGCCAGGUGACUUGCUUGGUUGGUUAAAGAUGAUACAGAUGGAGCAGUAACUUCACAGGAUUCUGGUUUCUAUUGCCUGUCUAUUAGGCAUGGUUCAGCAAGCAGGCAGGCAUCCAUAGUCCAGACUAAACUGAUCUAAAUGAGAAGCUAUGAGUGACCAAACAGUUUUUGAUCAAGUUUGAACAAUCCAGAUCAGAUCACUUCAAUAACUGAUAGGAAGACAAAACAGUCCAAUUUCUAAAACUCAAACCAAGAAGACAACAUGAGUAAAAAUCCAGCGGAUUCGGUUACUAGAACCUGAACUUUCUAAGUAGGAAGUUGCAUCCAGGAUGCUCGCGAAGACGGUAAUUCUCAACAGUGCACCCUAUCUAAUUUUAGAAUUCAACCAUGGCCCAAAAACAAAGAGACUUCUAUUCUUGGUUCAGCACACUCCUCCAUAGAAGCAUGAAGAAAAUGCUCCUAAUGUGGCCCUUCAAAAACAAACAAAAAAAAUGCUCCUCUUGUUUUUGCGCAUGUUCAAGAACAAUCUGUGACUUGACAACAGAAUCUUUAGCAAAGGAGAAGGGAGCCUGUAUAACCUUGCUGCCCCUGUUGUGCACAACCAAAAGUCUUAUCAGUUGCAAGGGAAGAGAGGCACAGGGAUUGUAAAUUCAACAAAAGGAGACACAGGGAUUGAGAGAGAUUUUCAUACAGUGAGCAGAGAUGAGCUUCUUUUCAUGCUUCAAGCCUGACAAGAAGAUGCUGUCAAAGAGGAUGGAGGAGAUGCCGUUCACAGUUGUGAAGAAAGCC